GGGUGCGAUCAUACCAGCACUAAAACACCGUAUUCC
rnacentral:rRNA from 1 species